UAGGGAAUCUUCCACAAUGGACGCAAGUCUGAUGGAGCAACGCCGCGUGAGUGAAGAAGGUCUUCGGAUCGUAAAACUCUGUUGUUAGAGAAGAACACGAGUGAGAGUAACUGUUCAUUCGAUGACGGUAUCUAACCAGAAAGUCACGGCUAACUACGUGCCGG
rnacentral:rRNA from 1 species